GACAGAGGUGGCAAGCGUUGUUCGGAUUUAUUGGGUGUAAAGGGUCCGUAGGUGGUUGGGUAAGUCUGACGUGAAAUCCCAUGGCUCAACCGUGGAACUGCGUUGGAAACUGCCCGACUUGAGUACCGCAGAGGUAAAGGGAAUUCUCGGUGUAAGGGUGAAAUCUGUAGAUAUCGAGAGGAACACCAGUGGCGAAAGCGCUUUACUGGGCGGUUACUGACACUGAGGGACGAAAGCAAGGGGGAGCAAGCAGG
rnacentral:rRNA from 1 species